rnacentral:rRNA from 1 species
UACGGAGGGGGCUAGCGUUGUUCGGAAUUACUGGGCGUAAAGCGCACGUAGGCGGCUUUGUAAGUUAGAGGUGAAAGCCCGGGGCUCAACUCCGGAAUUGCCUUUAAGACUGCAUCGCUAGAAUUGUGGAGAGGUAAGUGGAAUUCCGAGUGUAGAGGUGAAAUUCGUAGAUAUUCGGAAGAACACCAGUGGCGAAGGCGACUCUUUGGCCUGUAACUGACGCUGAGGCGCGAAAGCGUGGGGAGCAAACAGG